ACCUCUGUCUAAAAAUUCUCCGAGAAGAUAAAAGCUGUCUGGGAUCAUUUCAGAUAGUCAAGUGGUAAGUGAGUAACAGCGAAACUAAGACAAGAUUGUGCUGAAUAGCAAGACAUCUGCCCCUCACAUUCUUCUUCUUCCUGCGUUUGAAAAUACUGUGCCCAGUAGUGCGAUUGGAUAUGCCAGUACAACUCCCACUGCUGCAGCGUGUGCUUGGCCCUGUAUGUAAGCAAGACAGAAUUAGCUAGCAGAUCAUGUGAGUUCAAGGUCCCUUGAAGUGUUAACUUCAGUGAGGUCAUGGUCAGGCCCCAGAGCACGCAGGCAGCAUAGGUAGGCAGAGAGAGUAAAGAAAAUCACAAGAUUGAUUCUGGUUUUGUUUGUUUGUUUAUUUGAAUAUUUUCCAGUUUCACUUUUAUAGUGAUUCUUGCAGAUUCUUUUAAGUAUGUCCUAUAUUUUAUCUCCUUGGAUAUUGUGUGUCUAAGUACAUUAUGGCUGUCUUGCGUGUUAUUUAGGAUGCCUUUCAGAAUUAGCAUGUUCUCAGCAAGCAGAGAGUCUGACUUUGAUUUGCUAAGGAGAUAGGCAGCUACAAAGACUCAAGGACCAUUGCUACCUCAAAUAAUAUUUACUGCUUUGAGAAAGUCCUUAGCUGUAAACUAUGCAUCAGAUAGCAAAAAUUUACAAGACCAGGCAUGUCAGGCUGUGUUCAGAGUGAAGUUUCAGCCAAACUCUGUAUGCAGCCAUUGGGAAAAGAGCUGCUGGAGCGCAGUCUCGGGGAGCCAAAACAGCACUGAGCUGAGAGCCACUUUGAGCCAGGCUUCAGGAUUCAAGGUUGUUUUGAUGCUUUGGAGAGGCAGUAUUUGCAUAUCGCUGUCCUAGCAGUAAGUAAAUGGAUGCAAGGCAUUUUUCUUCCUCUACCAUGCUUGACAGAGAUUUGGAGUCAAGGUUGUGUCAAACCAUUUUUUUAAAGGGAAGUCAAAAUAUGUGUGGUUUUUAAUAGAGCAGCGACCUUUCUUAAAUAUGGUAAAUAUGAACUUCCUAGGCUGCGUGGGAACAUUUUCUCAGUAUGUCAGAAUUCUGACUCUGAGGCCUGACAAGAAUCCUUAAAGUCCAAGAAGCACUUUUGUGAGCUUCGUAUUGUUGCUUCCAGCAAAUUCCUGCCUCCAUCCUUGGAAGAAGGAAGCUGCUGUGUCUCCUCCAUUUCCCUCUACAUAGGAGUCCUCUUUAUUACUCUGAUACCAGUGAAACCACACACUAGCAGCUAUGCUGGGAGUCUUUUGCCCUGGUCUUUUGUAAAGCAGCAAUAGCUAUUUUAUGCACCUAUUCUGUGCAUAAUUUGAGCAUUUACAUCUCAGGCAUCAACAGUUACCUCUGAGGGUUGGAAUGGGAAUUAGCCUCAUUCCUCCCCAGUUACACAGAUGAGUGUCUUCUACCUGUCUUUGAAGUGGAAAGUAUUGACUGCUGAUAGAGGAAGGCUGUUUCUCAGCCAUUCCUUUCUCUGAUCCCAUGUUACAGAUAGUACAAUCUCUGCUGUAAUUUGAAAAUAUCAUUGUUUAUAGUCACUUUUCACUGGUUCAUCUUAUCCAAGGGGAGAAUGCGCUCA
ensembl:lncRNA